rnacentral:lncRNA from 1 species
GGAGAAAGCAUGAAAGAUCCGAGCUAGUGGCCCUUGUCCCAGGUCGACCUGCCCAGAGGAGACAGGCACAGGCAGAUAGGGCCAGAGGCCCUACUGUUGAUGCAGGGGUGGCACUGUCCCCGAAGAUAAGGAAAGAAUUCACUUUAAGUGCCCUGGGUGGGGGAAGAGAUAAGAUGCCGUGGACACAGAGACAGCCAGGAAAGAGGGCAGGCACCAGGAAUGCAGACCCUUGACCAGACCCCUCUGGGGCACACAGAUGCAUGCAGUGGGGGUUUCCUCCUUCCCCACCUUAUGUGGUGGCCUCUACCAAGGGCUGGAGUGUCCCCCCUGGUGUUCAGGGCACCGGUAUAUGGGGGCAGCUGUGCCAAAGUAAAUGGGGGAGGGGCCAUUGGGUGACUUGGCUCCUCAUUCCCUCUGCUUCCCUCUGUCUCCUCCUGCUUUUGAUGACAGCCCUGGGGACUCCAGCCUUCUUGAGGUUGAAUCUUGGAGACUGUGUACCCCCGGAGAUGUCCAACUCACCCCUGCAGCUGCCCACUGGCCUGGCCCAGCACCACUCUUUCUGGAAGGACCCCAGAGUCUGUCCCCGAGUUCAGUCCCCUUCCCCUUCCUGGGCACUUGUUCUGUCUCUGCAACUCCCCUGAUGUUCCCCAGGCCUCCUGUAGCUGGAGCCACCCUCCUGUCACACCCACCCCUUUCAGCCACCUGCUUCAUUCCCCAGCAGGCUUGUGGGGAUUUGCAGUGGAGAACGACCCUCUGAUUUGGACCCUGUCGUGGGUUGCAUUUUGCCAUCUGGAAAGAGAUGUUGAAGUCCUGACCUUUGGUACCUCAAAUGUGACCUCUGAUGGUUGGGUGUCUCCAAUGAUCAGGUUAAGAGACGCUUUUCCUGGAGGUGGGCUCCUAACGAAUCCCCUGUUACCUGGCCCUGCAUGGAGGCCGAGUUGGAUACAGACAGGCACAUACAGCGGGAAGGUGAUGUGUCAACACAGGGGAAGGACUGGGGGACGAUGCUGCAAAGCAAGGCUGGCACCUGAGCUUGGACUUGAAGCCUCCAGCACUGUCACACGAUACAAGCGGUUGUUUUAAGCCACCCAGCCUGUGGUACUUUGCAGCCCUAGGCCCCCCGCCAUGUUGUCAGCCGAGAUGUGGGAGGCAGUGUGAGAAUUCCCAGCAGAGACUGGCUGCCGAGAGGUGCGAUGGGAGCAGCAGGUGUGCACCGGGUGACCAUGACCCUCUCUGGGGUCUGGGGUGAGGGGGGCGCCUAAGACCACCUGGAGAUGAGUCAAGCUGGUUGGAACCUAUGAGGCUUCAGUUCCACCCCCUCGUUGUGGUCCCCACCCACAUCCAUUUUGUUUUGGGUCUCCUCCAUGCUUUCAUGACCAA